CCAGCCGCCGCGGUAAUACGUAGGGGGCGAGCGUUAUCCGGAUUUAUUGGGCGUAAAGGGCGCGCAGGCGGCCACUUGCAGUGGCGCGUGGAAUCUCUCGGCUCAACCGGGAGGGGCCGUGCCAGACGGGGUGGCUUGAGGUGGGGAGAGGCUCGCGGAACGGGCGGAGUAGGGGUGAAAUCCGUAGAGACCAUCCGGAACACCAAUAGCGAAGGCAGCGAGCUAGGCCCAUCCUGACGCUCGGGCGCGAAAGCGUGGGGAGCGAACGGAAUUAGAUACUCCGGUAGUCCACGCCCUAAACGAUGUCGACUCGGUGUUGGGGGUAUCGACCCCUCCGGCGCCUUAGCAAACGCGGUAAGUCGACCGCCUGGGGACUACGGCCGCAAGGCUAAAACUCAAAGGAAUUGACGGGGGCCCGCACAAGCAGCGGAGCGUGUGGAUUAAUUCGAUGCAACGCGAAGAACCUCACCCAGGCUUGACCUGCACGUGGUACUGACCUGAAAGGGAAGGGACCCGCAAGGGAGCGUGCGCAGGUGCUGCAUGGCUGUCGUCAGCUCGUGCCGUGAGGUGUUGGGUUAAGUCCCGCAACGAGCGCAACCCCCGUCCCCAGUUGUGAUGUCUGGGGAGACUGCCGGGCGAACCCCGGAGGAAGGUGGGGAUGACGUCAAGUCCGCAUGGCCCUUACGCUUGGGGCUUCACACACGCUACAAUGGCCGGUACAGCGGGAUGCCACUCAGCGAUGAGGCGCCAAUCCCCCAAAGCCGGCCUCAGUACGGAUUGGAGGCUGCAACUCGCCUCCAUGAAGUCGGAGUUGCUAGUAACCGCGCGUCAGCACAGUGCGGUGAAUGCGUUCCCGGGCCUUGUACACACCGCCCGUCACACCACGAAAGCUGGCAAGACUCGAAUGCCGUAGGCCAACCUGCAAGGGGGGCAGCGGUCGAGAGUCGGGUUGGUGAUUGGGGUGAAGUCGUAACAAGGUAACCAA
rnacentral:rRNA from 1 species